UGGUUAUGGGCUGUUAUCGCGCUAUGGGAGUUGAAGAGGCCCAGCUAUGCUCCACCAUCAUCACGCAAGGCCUCUAGCCCAUCAUUGUCAAGCGAAGCCGACCCAACAAACUUUGUGUGGGCACAUUAGACAGGGCAGCCCGACCACACGGCCACGGCCCUCCGGACAAACUUGUCGCAACGACGCGCGAAACCAGCUCUUGUGCCGACCCGCGCCGCCACAGCCGCCGCCGCCUCCGCUGCGCCAACAGCCCGCCAUGACGAGGAAGCACGCGGGCACCGGCGUCCUCCGCGCCCUCGUCGCCGUCGCGGCCUCCGUCGCGUCCGCCUCGUCCCGUACGCCCCCGAGGCGCGCCGCGCCCUACCUCGCCGUCCUCCUCCGCCGGGGCCGCGCCGAGGCCGCGGCGCGCCUCAACCGCCACCUCCGCCUGCUGCCUCUCCCGGAGUCCCCUGCCCUACUCUCGGCGCUCCCCUCCGUCCGCGACGCCGUCUCCUACAACACCGUCCUCGCCGCGCUCUGCCGCCAGGGCUGCCUCGACGCCGCGCUCUUCCUCCUCCGCGUCAUGUCGCAUGAGCCCCGCCUCGCCUGCCGCCCCAAUGCCAUCUCCUACACCACCCUCAUGCGCGCGCUCUGCGCCGACCGUCGCGCGGGCCAGGCCGUCGGGCUGCUUCGGUCCAUGCAGGACUGCGGCGUCCGCCCCGACGUGGUCACCUACGGCACGCUCAUCCGUGGGCUGUGCGACGCCGCGGACGUUGACAAGGCCGUGGAGCUGCUGAAUGAGAUGUGCGAGAGUGGUAUCGAGCCUAACGUGGUUGUGUACAGCUGUUUACUCCAUGGUUAUUGCAAGACUGGGAGGUGGGAAAGCGUAGGCAAGGUGUUCGAAGAAAUGUCUGAGAGGGGUAUUGAGCCCGAUGUUGUGAUGUACACUGGUUUGAUCGAUAGCCUGUGUAGACACGGGAAGGUAACAAAGGCAACGCGGGUGAUGGAAAUGAUGACGGAGCGGGGGUUGGAGCCAAACGUGGUGACCUACAAUGUGCUGAUCAAUUCCAUGUGCAAGGAAGGGUCUGUGAGGGAGGCGCUCGAUUUGCGGAAGAAUAUGCUGGAGAAGGGCGUGCAACCAGAUGUUGUGACAUAUAACACACUCAUCACCGGGCUAUCCAGUGUGCUUGAGAUGGAUGAGGUGAUGGCGUUACUAGAGGAGAUGAUGCAAGGUGAAACUAAAGUUAGGCCUGAUUUGAUGACAUUCAACUCGGUUAUAUAUGGACUUUGUAAGAUUGGUUGGAUGCGGCAAGCGUUCGAGGUCCGUGCCAUGAUGGCUGAGAAUGGAUGCAGGUGUAACUUGGUGACAUUUAACCUGCUGAUUGGUGGACUCCUUAGAGUCCACAAGGUAAAGAAGGCCAUGAAGCUGAAGGAUGAGAUGGCUAGUUCUGGACUGCAGCCUGAUUCGUUCACCUAUGGCAUAUUGAUAAAUGGCUUCUGUAAAAUGCGGCAAGUUGAACGUGCGGAAAGCCUCCUGUCUGAAAUGAGACGUCAAGGGAUGGAGCCUGAGCCAGUUCACUAUAUUCCUUUGCUUAAAGCUAUGUGUGAUCAAGGCAUGAUGGGGCAGGCUAGGGAUUUGUUCAAUGAAAUGGAUGGGAACUGCAAAUUAGAUGCUGCUGCAUAUAGCACUAUGAUCCAUGGUGCUUUCAAAUCAGGGGAGAAGAAAAUUGCAGAAGAGUUCCUUAAAGAUAUGAUUGAUGAGGGGCUGAUUCCUGAUGCUGUGACAUAUUCUAUCCCAAUCAACAUGUUUGCAAAAUCUGGAGACCUAGCAGCGGCGGAGCGGGUGCUUAAACAGAUGACCGCAAGUGGCUUUGUGCCCGACGUUGCUGUAUUUGAUUCACUGAUCCAAGGUUAUGGAGCUAAAGGCAACACCGAGAAGGUUCUUGAGUUAACUCGUGAAAUGACAGCCAAGGGUGUAGCACUUGAUUCUAAAAUUAUUUCAACUAUUGUCACUUCUCUUGGGGCAAGUAAUGACGGCCAAAAGUUAUUGCAGAGUUUGCCUGGUUUUGAUACAGAAAUAUCAAAAGGCGACUCUAUCUCGUCACAUGAUGUAAUGAAUAUGCUGCAAAAACAUUGCACCAAACUUGAAUCCCCUGUUCCUUGCUGAGCUCUGAUCCCAAUUCAGGUGCUUGCGUUCUAUAUCUAUCAUCAAAGGCAAAGCUGAAAGCAAUGACAUGUGAGAGAAAAGGUGUCUUCUUUGCCCUGUGAGGGUUUGCAGUGGGAAAGUGAGGUCAUCAUUUGUUAAGCUCUUUGCAAGUUCUAGUUAUGUUAGUCAGGCAGUUCUUUUGGUGGUAGGUUUAUACCCCCAGAAAGGUUCAGCUAGUAUGAUGCCAUGCGCUCUGUUAUUCCAUGAAUAUCUUGUUUAAAUGUUCACCUGUUGGGGCUUAUUAUUAUUCCCCCCCUAAUCAAGUUAAAAAUUAUUGGCGUGAAUCGUCAGAAAUUGUUUGGAUCAUUGUGCUGCUUGUUUGGUAAAAUAAUUGUUUGGAGGGAUGAUCA